rnacentral:rRNA from 1 species
CAAUAGCGUAUAUUAAAGUUGUUGCAGUUAAAAAGCUCGUAGUUGGAUUUCAAGAAACGCAUCUGGGAAACCAGUUUGCUUUCUACCAGUCUCUGACUGUUACUGUGAAAAAAUUAGAGUGUUCAAAGCAGGCCGUACGCUUGAAUACAUUAGCAUGGAAUAAUGGAAUAGGACGUCGGGCCUAUUUUGUUGGUUCUAGGACCGUCGUAAUGAUUAAUAGGGACAGUUGGGGCCGUUUAUAUUCCGUAGUCAGAGGUGAAAUUCUUGGAUUUACGGAAGAUAAACUACUGCGAAAGCAUUCGGCAAGGAUGUUUUCGUUAA